GAAUUUGAGGGGAAAAUUUAUGUUCUACUCUAACCCACACAAAUCGCGGUCUAGAUUAGACAUGGCAUGGAUGAACGCAGAACUAGGAAACCAACUAGAUUCGAUAGAGAUUAUGACAAAUGUAUGGGCUGAUCAUAACCCAUUAAAAAUAACUUGGAAAGGAAGGGAAAAGGAAGAGUAGAAGGUGGAUACUUAAUCCCCAAAUUUUCAAGGAGGAAGAUUUGGUAGAGAAAUUAAGAAAGAAAUGGAACUUUUUUUAAGGAAAAUACAGUGGAGCAAACAUCAUUACAGAAUUUAUGGGAUACAGCAAAGGCAGUCUUGAGGGGGCUGGUAACAGCAUAUACAGCGAAAAGGAAUAAGGAAAGAUGGCAAAAUCAGAAUAAAUUACAGGAGGAGAUUAAAGACCUAGAAAAAAGAUAACAGAUAA